rnacentral:rRNA from 1 species
UACGUAGGGGCCAAGCGUUGUCCGGAUUUAUUGGGCGUAAAGAGCUCGUAGGCGGUUUGUCGCGUCGAAUGUGAAAUCCCGGGGCUCAACCCCGGGUCUGCAUUCGAUACGGGCAGACUAGAGUUCGGUAGGGGAGUCUGGAAUUCCUGGUGUAGCGGUGAAAUGCGCAGAUAUCAGGAGGAACACCGGUGGCGAAGGCGGAUCUCUGGGCCUUACCUGACGCUGAGGCGCGAAAGCUAGGGGAGCAAACAGG